UCCCUUUUUCCCGCAGUUUUCCUACCGGGAUGGGGAAUUCCGGCCGCUCCCGCGGGUCCAGCUGAGCUUCCUGCGCCUCCUCAGCUCCUCCUCCCGCCAGAGCCUCGCCCUGCCCUGCCCCGCCAAUUCCCAAAAAAAACCCGGGAAUUCCCGGGAAAAAACCGGGAAUUCCCAAAAAUCCCCCCGGUCCCGGGAACCCGGGGAGGAGAAUCCCGGGAAUUCCCGGGGGUUCCUGAGGAUCCUGGCGGGGAACGAGGAGGAGCUGGGAUGGGAAGGAGCGAGGAUCGUGGAGGACGGAUGUGGGCCCCGGGGCGGCUCCGGGCGGCUCCUCCUGGAAUUCCGCUCCUCGCGCCCGGAGCUGCUCCCGAUCCUGGAUUUCCACCUGGAACCCACCGCAAUUCCCAAAAAUCCCCAAAAUUCGGGAAUCGAGCUGGGACCCGUCUGUUUCCUGGGAUAAAAAAAAA